GAUGAAGAACGUAGCGAAUUGCGAUAAGUAAUGUGAAUUGCAGAUUUUCAGUGAAUCAUCGAAUCUUUGAACGCACCUUGCGCCCCUUGGUUAUUCCAAAGGGCAUGCCUGUUUGAGUAUCAUGAACACCUCAACUCUUGUGGUUUCCCACAAUGAGCUUGGACUGUGGAGGUUUUGUUGGCCCUGUGGUCAGCUCCUCUCAAAUGGAUCAGCUUACCGGUGUUUGGUGGCAUUACGGGUGUGAUAACUAUCUACGCUCGUGGUCGUCUCCAAAUAACCUCCAGUGAUGGAGGUUCGCUGGAGCUUAUAAAUGUCUCUCCCCAGUGAAGACAGCCUUUGAACGUUCGAUCUCAAAUCAGGUAGGACUACCCGCUGAACUUAAGCAUAUCAAUAAGCGGAGGA
rnacentral:misc_RNA from 1 species